AGUGAACGCUGGCGGUAGGCCUAACACAUGCAAGUCGAACGGCAGCGCAGUAAGAGCUUGCUCUUACGGGUGGCGAGUGGCGGACGGGUGAGGAAUACAUCGGAAUCUACUUUUUCGUGGGGGAUAACGUAGGUAAACUUACGCUAAUACCGCAUACGACCUACGGGUGAAAGCAGGGGAUCUUCGGACCUUGCGCGAUUGAAUGAGCCGAUGUCGGAGUAGCUAGUUGGCGGGGUAAAGGCCCACCAAGGCGACGAUCCGUAGCUGGUCUGAGAGGAUAAUCAGCCACACUGGAACUGAGACACGGUCCAGACUCCUACGGGAGGCAGCAGUGGGGAAUAUUGGACAAUGGGCGCAAGCCUGAUCCAGCCAUACCGCGUGGGUGAAGAAGGCCUUCGGGUUGUAAAGCCCUUUUGUUGGGAAAGAAAAGCAGCAGGUUAAUACCCCGCUGUUCUGACGGUACCCAAAGAAUAAGCACCGGCUAACUUCGUG
rnacentral:rRNA from 1 species